CCACAACGAAAUAAUGGACACCGUUAUUGAGGCCAUUCAAAGACGAUUUCUGACACAUGGCAGUUUAUAUGCAGACUUAUCAUUUCUGGGCCCCAGACACUUUCCAGAUAUCAAAAUUAGUGGUGUUCCUGAUUCUGCACUCCAAGAUCUGAGCAGGUGCCUGAUUAAAUUUGACAGUUCCGCAACAGUUAACAAUCUGCAGGCAGAACUGCAAAGCUUGGCAACCCAGUGGGAAAUGCUGAAACGAUCACCACUGGAAGCAUAUGCAUCCAGGACUGUGGAGGAAGGACCUGAUGAAAACAAGGAGGAGAUGACAAUUAUCAACAAAAGCUGUGCCUCUUGCAAGAACUGCCCACUGUGUUGUUACCAAAUUCUCCUUCGAUUCAACUUGCUCACAGAUGCAUAUCAUCAUGUAGCUCUUGCAUACAAAUAUUUACUCACCCUCUCAGUGACACAAGUCGCUUGUGAACGGUCAUUUUCUACCCUUAAAUUCAUCAAGAGCAGACUGAGGAACAGCAUGAAUGCAAGUAAGUUAGAGGCCUUCAUGUUGAUGUCCUCAGAAAAGGACAUCCUCAUGGGUCUCGAGACAGACACCGUCAUUGACAGAGUUGCAGAAAAAAGUGAACUACUUCGGAAACUCCCACUAUACUGAGGUCUCGUCUCGUCUCAUCUCAUCUCAUUAUCUCUAGCCGCUUUAUCCUUCUACAGCAUUGGCGGUUUUAAGCGGGGGCCAGGGGGGGCCAGUGCCCCUGUAAAAUUGCUCCUGGCCCCUGUUGUGGCCCCUGUGCUGAACAGAUAAUAAGCUUUAUUAAUUUCGACGUGCGCUGGCUCGAAGAUCGGAACUGACAUGACGGAGUGUUCUACACGGACUCCUUAAAGCGCUACACGCACACUGUUACCUGCAGCAGAAAGACCAGCAGCAGCGCGAAUUGUAAACUUUGGACGUGAGAGAUAACAGCAGCUGCAGCCCUGCAAGAACUAGGCUAUUGCAAAGAGGCGAAGCAAAAAGCAACAUAGAGAGAGUAAGGAAGAUGAAGAUUAUGAAAGAGGAGAGAGAGCCAGAGGUGGAGAGAGAGCCAGAGGUGGUGGUUGGAGAGGUGGAAAGUGAGGCAUCUGAAAGGCAAUCUGAGAGUGAGGAUGAAGACAUUCAGGAUCAGAUUGAGGGACAGAAUGAGGGACAACCCAACGAGUCAUUGGGACAACCAGAUUCACCAUGCAUAUCAAGUACAGCACCAUCAGAUAUCAGCAAGUGCUUGGACGACACUCCAGUGCAGCCACAUCUGAAGAAAAGGUUCAUUGUAGGCAAAAAUAGAAAUCUUAUUUUACAAAAAAGAGAAACAUGGUUUUAAGAUUUAUUGAGCACAAUUUAUUUUAUGUUUAGGCUAUUGAGACAGAAUGUUUAUCUCAUUGUAUUUAUGCUCAAUGUAUUUUAGUUUAGUUUUAAAUAAACUAAACUAAACAUUUUGAACGCUUAAAUAUUGCCAUGUUUUGUCCAUAUGUGCCCCCCUGAAAAAACACUGGCCCCACCUCGGCCCCCCUAGUAAUUUUGGUCUAGAACCGCCACUGUUCUACAGGGUCGCAGGCAAGCUGGAGCCUAUCCCAGCUGACUAUGGGCGAAAGGCGGGGUACACCCUGGACAAGUCGCCAGGUCAUCACAGGGCUGACACAUAGACACAGACAACCAUUCACACCUACGGUCAAUUUAGAGUCACCAGUUAACCUAACCUGCAUGUCUUUGGACUGUGGGGGAAACCGGAGCACCCAGAGGAAACCCACGCGGACACGGGGAGAACAUGCAAACUCCGCACAGAAAGGCCCUCGCCGGCCACGGGGCUCGAACCCAGGACCUUCUUGCUGUGAGGCGACAGCGCUAACCACUACACCACCGUGCCGCCCCCUAUACUGAGGAAGCCCCUGUCUCUCAGGUUUUGUUGACUGUUCGUUGUCACAAAGUUCCAUUUCAGGAUACUCAUUCACCAUUGUUCACAAGAUUGACAGGCAUUUGGGUUCUGGGAUGCCAUUUGAGAGGAUUUUGUCAUAGAUAUUCAGGGGUCACAAGUCAUGAUUCAGCAAGGUCUUCUGGCAUACAUAGAUGUUCAUAGGAUCGUCAGGGUAUGAGAGCGUUUGUUCAAGUCAAGUGAGCUAUCUACCAGGUGGGAUGAUUACGAGAGUGACUGUGUCAGUGUGUAGGUGUGUCCAAGUAGCAGAUUGGACUGAAGACUGCAGAUAAGAGGUCAGCAGCUAAAGGUUAAAAAUGAGGAAAGCAAAGAGGAGGAAGCUUACAGAUUUCUUCAAAAGAUUUGCCUUCAUGGAGACCCCAUCACUCAAGACAUGAGCUGCAAAAGGACUGAAUUCCACCACUGCAAACUCAUUCGACGGCAUUUAUGAUAGUGUUGAUACACAUUCCCUGGUGUGCAGGUACUGUAUGGUGAAGGGGCUCUGCACACUCAUACUGAGCACAGAGACACAGCAGGGCUGGUGGAGAUUUCAGCUAUUGGUAUGACAUGUGGAGUCGAGCAGCUCGGACCCAGGACCAUCGUAGAACAAGAGGUAAAUGAGCUGAUCGAAUGGACCAAUGCACUCAACUUUGAUAAGUAAUUAACCUAUGAUUUUAUACACUGGUAAAAUGCAGAUAUAUACACUCACUGGCCACUUUAACAGGAACUUCUUGUUGAUUCUAAGAUUCCUGUUCUUGGCUGCAGAAGUGGAACCUAAUGUGAUCUUCUGCUGUUGCAUGCUGAGAUGCUUUUCUUCUCACCAUGGUUGUAAAGAGUGAUUAUAUAAAUUGCUAUGAGUUCCUUCCUGGCAGCUUGAACCAAUCUGGCCAUUUUCCUCUGACCUCUCUAAUCAACAAGGUGUUUGUUUCCACCCACAGAACUAUCGCUCACUCGAUGUUUUUUUGUUUUUCGCACCAUUCUGUGUAAACUCUAGAGACCCCAGGAAGGAGAUCAGUAGUUUCUGAAAUACUCAAACCAGUCCAUCUGGCACUAACACCCAUGCUACAGUGAAAGUCACACUUUGAGAUCACAAUUUUUCCCAUUCUGAUGUUUGAAGUGAACAUUAACUGAAGCUCUUGAUUUGUAUCUGCAUGAGUUUAUGCGUUGUGCUGCUGUCAAGGGAUCGGCUGAUUAGAGAACUGCAUCAAACAGGAGGUGGAUGUAUGGGCAUUCCUAAUAAAGUGGCCAAAAUGUUUCUGUUAUCCUCCUGUUUGUUCUGGAUUCGAGGAUGUGCUGUUGUAGGAAAAUAAUCAGUGCUAGGCUGGAGCGAUGAUGUAUAGUUUCUGUUAUCGUAUAUAAAUGAAUGGAAGCUUGUGGGUACCAGGAAAUCUUCAGUGCUCCAGAAAGAUAAGCAGCAGGUUCUCUCUGCUCACGACCCCCAGGAGUUCUCCCAGCUCAUGUCUCCAGUCUGAAUCAGCCAGAAUACUCAAGAGAUACAAUGCCAUCUGCAUGUCACUCUAUUAGCCACAAGAGAGCACAUUGUCAUUUUACUGCAGCUUUAUAAAAGUAGUGUAGUGUAUAUGUGAUUUGUUGUACAAAUAUAAAAUUUAAGCUUUUUACAGUAGACUGUAUAAGGCUGUAAAUCUGUUCCGCAGUGUUAAUACGCACUAACAGGAAAGAUCUCCCAUGCUGAAGAGUUCACUUCCAGCUCGGAGCUUUAUUCUUAUUUAUAAUCAGGACUGAAGCUGAACUUAACAGUGCUUUAGAUCUCAUGGGCAUGCUAGAUCGAAUAUUAAUGCACAUAAACAUAUAAAUGCGAUCUUUCACUAUACUUUGUAUUUUAUAUAUUACAACCCCGAUUCCAAAAAAAGUUGGGACA